rnacentral:rRNA from 1 species
GAUGAACGCUGGCGGCGUGCCUAAUACAUGCAAGUCGAGCGAACAGACGAGGAGCUUGCUCCUCUGACGUUAGCGGCGGACGGGUGAGUAACACGUGGAUAACCUACCUAUAAGACUGGGAUAACUUCGGGAAACCGGAGCUAAUACCGGAUAAUAUAUUGAACCGCAUGGUUCAAUAGUGAAAGACGGUUUUGCUGUCACUUAUAGAUGGAUCCGCGCCGCAUUAGCUAGUUGGUAAGGUAACGGCUUACCAAGGCAACGAUGCGUAGCCGACCUGAGAGGGGGACCGCCCAACUUGGAACUGGACACGGGUCAAACCCCCUAGGGGGGGAAGCAGUAGGGAAUUUUCCGAAAUGGGGGAAAGCCUGAGGGGGCAACGCCGGGGGGGGGAUGAAGGUUUUGGGAUCGUAAAACUUUUUUAUUAGGGAAAAAAAAAUGUGAAAGUAACAAUGCACGUUUUGACGGUACCUAAUCAGAAAGCCCCGGCUAACUACGU